UACAGAGGGGGCAAGCGUUAUUCGGAAUUAUUGGGCGUAAAGGGCGCGUAGGCGGCCUGGCAAGUGGAAGGUGAAAUCCCUCGGCUUAACCGAGGAACUGCCCUCCAAACUGCUUGGCUUGAGUCCAGGAGAGGUGAGUGGAAUUCCCAGUGUAGCGGUGAAAUGCGUAGAUAUUGGGAGGAACACCAGUGGCGAAGGCGGCUCACUGGACCGGUACUGACGCUGAGGAGCGAAAGCGUGGGUAGCAAACAGGA
rnacentral:rRNA from 1 species